UUAUGUCGGACUCCGCGCCUCCGGUGGA
rnacentral:piRNA from 1 species